rnacentral:rRNA from 1 species
ACCAGACUCCUACGGGAGGCAGCAGUGGGGAAUAUUGCGCAAUGGGCGAAAGCCUGACGCAGCGACGCCGCGUGAGGGAUGAAGGUCUUCGGAUCGUAAACCUCUGUCAGCAGGGAAGAACGGUCACUGUGCUAAUCAGCAGUGAAUUGACGGUACCUGCAAAGGAAGCACCGGCUAACUCCGUGCCAGCAGCCGCGGUAAUACGGAGGGUGCGAGCGUUAUCCGGAUUUAUUGGGUGUAAAGGGUGCGUAGGCGGCUUCUUAAGUCUGUAGUCUAAGCCCGGAGCUUAACUCCGGUUCGCUACAGAAACUGAUUAGCUUGAGUAUGGUAGAGGCAAGUGGAAUUUCUAGUGUAGCGGUUAAAUGCGUAGAUAUUAGAAGGAACACCAGUGGCGAAGGCGACUUGCUGGGCCAUUACUGACGCUGAGGCACGAAAGCGUGGGGAGCAAAUAGGAUUAGAUACCCUUGUAAG